rnacentral:rRNA from 1 species
AUGAACGCUGACAGAAUGCUUAACACAUGCAAGUCAACUUGAAUUUGGGUUUUUAACUUAGAUUUGGGUGGCGGACGGGUGAGUAACGCGUAAAGAACUUGCCUCACAGCUAGGGACAACAUUUAGAAAUGAAUGCUAAUACCUGAUAUUAUGAUUUUAAGGCAUCUUAGAAUUAUGAAAGCUAUAAGCACUGUGAGAGAGCUUUGCGUCCCAUUAGCUAGUUGGAGAGGUAACAGCUCACCAAGGCGAUGAUGGGUAGCCGGCCUGAGAGGGUGAACGGCCACAAGGGGACUGAGACACGGCCCUUACUCCUACGGGAGGCAGCAGUGGGGAAUAUUGGACAAUGGACCGAGAGUCUGAUCCAGCAAUUCUGUGUGCACGAUGAAGUUUUUCGGAAUGUAAAGUGCUUUCAGUUGGGAAGAAAAAAAUGACGGUACCAACAGAAGAAGUGACGGCUAAAUACGUGCCAGCAGCCGCGGUAAUACGUAUGUCACGAGCGUUAUCCGGAUUUAUUGGGCGUAAAGCGCGUCUAGGUGGUUAUGUAAGUCUGAUGUGAAAAUGCGGGGCUCAACUCUGUAUUGCGUUGGAAACUGUAUAACUAGAGUACUGGAGAGGUAAGCGGAACUACAAGUGUAGAGGUGAAAUUCGUAGAUAUUUGUAGGAAUGCCGAUGGGGAAGCCAGCUUACUGGACAGAUACUGACGCUAAAGCGCGAAAGCGUGGGU